UACGAAGGGGGCUAGCGUUGCUCGGAAUCACUGGGCGUAAAGGGUGCGUAGGCGGGCCUUUAAGUCAGGGGUGAAAUCCUGGAGCUCAACUCCAGAACUGCCUUUGAUACUGAUGAUCUUGAGUUCGGGAGAGGUGAGUGGAACUGCGAGUGUAGAGGUGAAAUUCGUAGAUAUUCGCAAGAACACCAGUGGCGAAGGCGGCUCACUGGCCCGAUACUGACGCUGAGGCACGAAAGCGUGGGGAUCAAACAGG
rnacentral:rRNA from 1 species